AUGGAUAAAGCAGAGAGGAUGAAGGCAGCAGAGGAGAGCAAUCCCAUGGUAGAGACAAGUGCAAUACAAGAUGUGUAUUACCAGCCAAUCAUCCCGGGUAGCAGCCACCGUGAUGGUACUAUAUACAAGAAAAGGCUUGAAUGGGAAAGUGAAUACUGUGUAGAUGUUGACGACCGCACAGAAACUCAGCUGGAGCCAGCAUCUUGGGACGAUAUGACAUGUGAGAUGAUGCAGAUUUUCUCCUUAAAGUUAGCUAAAUCUCCUAUCAACAGUGGCUCAAUGCAGUUAUAUGGAUACAUCGCGGCACGAGAUGAAUAUGAUUUAAGGCUUAAUUAUCUUUUCAAUCGUAGCAGAGAAGAUCCCAUCGUCGUGCAACAGGGUUUUCUCAUUCAAAUGACCGGACCUAAGAGAGGCAUUGCAUUUCACUGUGAUGUUCUACUUGAGUUUGGCAUGAGGAUCAAGAACGGAGAAAAUGAAGGAGAUGACACACAGUUGAUUGAUGGAAUGUCGGAAUUUCGUGGACUAUUAAUGCCAUGGGAACCAACUGAAAUUCCCAUUAAUGGUAAUUGUGCUACAGUUGAGAUGUCUGCUGCACUUGUUAGUAAUGCAAUUGCGGCCAUUGUAGAAGUUAUCAUAUCAGAAGCACAUGGUGAUUUUGAUCUAUCCCUCAGUUCCAUUGUUUCUGUUGUGGAGGAACAUGAAUUUCAGCUUUUUCAUGGCUCCGCUGGUGACUGGUGUGGUGUAAGGAGGUUUGUGAUUGCUGUCACAGUAAAUACUAUGUUGCAUUUGAAGUUCAUGCUUGGUCACAGAUGCUCCAACGGUAACAUUGAAGACACUUGUUCCUUCAAAGCCAAGCUAAACGGACACGCCAGCCAUCAAACAAAUUUGGAGGCUGCUUCUAUCUUGACGAAGGUGACAUGGGCGGCAUGGCCUCCUGAAAUGUUUUGUUGA
rnacentral:rRNA from 1 species